rnacentral:rRNA from 1 species
GAUGAACGCUGGCGGCGUGCCUAAUACAUGCAAGUCGAGCGAACAGAUGAGGAGCUUGCUCCUCUGACGUUAGCGGCGGACGUGUGAGUAACACGUGGAUAACCUACCUAUAAGACUGGGAUAACUUCGGGAAACCGGAGCUAAUACCGGAUAAUAUAUUGAACCGCAUGGUUCAAUAGUGAAAGACGGUUUUGCUGUCACUUAUAGAUGGAUCCGCGCCGCAUUAGCUAGUUGGUAAGGUAACGGCUUACCAAGGCAACGAUGCGUAGCCGACCUGAGAGGGUGAUCGGCCACACUGGAACUGAGACACGGUCCAGACUCCUACGGGAGGCAGCAGUAGGGAAUCUUCCGCAAUGGGCGAAAGCCUGACGGAGCAACGCCGCGUGAGUGAUGAAGGUCUUCGGAUCGUAAAACUCUGUUAUUAGGGAAGAACAAAUGUGUAAGUAACUAUGCACGUCUUGACGGUACCUAAUCAGAAAGCCACGGCUAACUACGUG